GAGGAGGGGGAAGAGAGGAUGCCUCUCUGUCCCAUUUUAUCAGGUAGGCAUCCAAAGAGCAGUUGUCUCACCUAACCCCGCGAGAAAACAGCUCCCCCAACUUUGCCUGCAGGAACCUGCGGGAGCUCAAGAGGAGCCUUUGUCUGAAAGGUUCAAUGUAAUCCUUUUGGCACUUUUGCGUCAACCUUGCUUUUGAAUCCUUCACCGUCUGAGUUCACCUAGUUAUGUUCAACUGAUGGACUCUUAAAAGAGAAAAGGCAAACGCCAUAAGGAAAGGAGAAGAACCACUCUAGCCAGCUGGAGCAUAAGAGAGAACGUGGAGAGAGAAGCUGAGACACUUUAGCCACCCUCCAACCAACAACCAGCCAGUGAACCUUACAUAACUAACAAGAAUUUUAAAUGAAACCUUUCAAGUAGUAACUAGAAACUUCACAGCUCAGUCUUUGACUAGGAAGACAUCAAAAUGGAAAUCAAACAACUUAACAAAUAUGUACAUUCAAAAUUUAAUUCUGUUCACCCUGUUGCUGAAGAGCACAGAGGACUUGAUGCAGUCUUCUAUAGUGUCAAGCAUUUGAUUAAGAAGACCAGGUGGUAUAAAGGAUCUGAUGAAAGGAUUUUAAGCUCAAAACCAAUUCCCACAAACCUAUCACAGUGCCUUGACAUCCCCAUUGGAAAUGUAUUACUUGUGAUUAGAUCUGAAAAAUCAUUCUUGCAUAUAUAUUUUGUGUGAGAUAUGUUUCUGUGUGAGGGCAGGUAGAUAUGAGUGUGGGUAUGAGUUUAAAGUCCAGAAAAAGUAAAUAAAACCCAGUAUUACAAAGGUGCAUUUUGGUAGAAGAGAUUAUGAACCAAAGUCACUUCUAAAGUCAGUCUCAAGAAAGUAAUUUAAACUAGUUAAUGUAUAAGAUUUUGCUUGGCUUUCUGUGCAGUCUCCAGAAACAAAACUGUCAUUCAUGUUGGGAGAUCUUUAUGUCCUACUCUCUUGGCACAGUAAAUGGGUUACACUGUUACACAACUUUUUCUUAUUUCAGAUUCUUAAAGACAAUGUUCGUGCUAAUUGUGUAGAGAGUUGGGGAAGUUUUACUUUACUUCAAUCAUUUUUGUGCUUCCUCUUGCUCUUUAAUUCAUUUCUCUUCAUCACAGUCACUAUUCCUAUACAUUCUACUUCUUUAAGAAGCAUCUCCACAGAAUACACAUCUGUAUGUGCAAUUUAAUAAAAUAUAACUAUCACUAGGAACUUGUUAGACAAUAUUUUAAAUACAUUGCUCCUUUUUCUCUAAGUUUUCCAUUUUUCCUUUUAAAACUAGACAAAGCUGCAGGCUCUAUCAUUUGUGUUUACAUGAUCCUUUUACAAGUUACCUUACCUAUCUGGGACUCAGCUUUCCCAUUCUUAGUAGGAUGAUAAUUCUUUCCCUGCAAGCUUUCUGAAAGGGUCUACAAAACUCUUGUUCCAGUCCUUUAAGCAAAUGAAGAAAGAAUAGUAGCUAUUUGGCAAACAGUUGAUAAAAGACAGCAUAGGACAGAAGAGAUUAUCAACGAUCCGACCUAGGUAUCUCUGCUGUCUGGAUGAUUCAUAAUCCUCACACAUUAACUGAAAAAUCACCCCCAGUGAAGGAAGAAGAGGAAAAUAAUCCUGAAAUGAUGUCACUAUGAAAAACCAUUAGUAACAAAACAUGUGAGUGACUGAGUCUACCAUGAAUUGGCUAGAUUGAUUUUUUUUCUUCAUUAACCUGCAGAUGUGAGAUUCCUUCCCUGUAAUCUGAUAAAUGUAGCAAGAUUUUUCAAUUGCAGUUGGAUCUAGGUUGACAGAUUAGCUGGAAGAUUUGGGGAGUAGUGCUUCAAGACUACUUCUUUACCUUCUUUGAAUAUUAUAUCCUUCAAGAAUAGCCUACCCAUUAUUAUAUCCCAAGUGUUGAUGUGAACUUUGACAUAUUCCUUUUAAGCAAAAAGAUUUCGGAGUUACUUCCUGAAAACUUUUUUCCAACCUCAAGUCCCCAGUUACAUCUGACCUAUUGCUAAUGGAAAUUUCCUAUCCAAAGUCCAGGAAAAAUGUCCCUUUUACUCACCUUAUUCACAUAAUAAUCAAAUUAUGAAAGUAUUUACUGUCCUGGCUAAGCAUAUCAGCAUUACAAAUAAUUGCAACUAGAUCAUCAGAACUUGAAACAGAAAAUAAGCUUUCCCAUUAAAAAAAAAAAAAAAAAAACAAAAAACCCAGAGAAUAGAGAUCAAUUAGAUUUUCACACAAACUAAAGUCUUCUAAAAACUUCAGUGUAAGAAACUGCUUUCAACUCUUUGCAUCCAGUGACAUGGAUAUGUUUUAUUCAUCUAGAGAGUACAUAUUGACGCUGUGAAGGAAACACUUCCCUCCCUAUAGAGAACUUUCUUAUCACCAUGAAGUUUCCGAUAAGAGUCAACACUGUGCCUUCCUGUUAUCUCUUUCUACAAGUGUAAGCCCUUCUCAGCACAUCAGUAAGAGCAGGAAAAUGAAGAGCAAAUGAAAACCUGAAAACAACUUGAAAAAACAGAAACACUUCAUUUCUCAUUAUAAAAUUUAAUGGAACUGAAAAGUUUUUCUUAAGUUUAGUGCAAAUUAAUUUGGCAGUAAAACAUGAGUUGAUAUGUCAGUUUAAAGACAUUAUUUUUCUUACUUGGUAUGAAUAUUCAUUCAUUACUAUGCAGCAAUAACACUGUGCUUGCAUACAGACCUGUU